GAUGAAGAACGUAGCGAAAUGCGAUAAGUAAUGUGAAUUGCAGAAUUCAGUGAAUCAUCGAAUCUUUGAACGCACAUUGCGCCCCUUGGUAUUCCGAGGGGCAUGCCUGUUCGAGCGUCAUUUCAACCCUCAAGCACGGCUUGUGUGUUGGGCCUCCGUCCUCCUCCCGGGGGACGGGCCCGAAAGGCAGCGGCGGCACCGCGUCCGGUCCUCGAGCGUAUGGGGCUUCGUCACCCGCUCUUGUAGGCCCGGCCGGCGCUUGCCGACACAUCAAUCUUUUUUCCAGGUUGACCUCGGAUCAGGUAGGGAUACCCGCUGAACUUAAGCAUAUCAAUAAGCGGAGGA
rnacentral:misc_RNA from 1 species